rnacentral:rRNA from 1 species
AUUGAACGCUGGCGGCGUGCUUAACACAUGCAAGUCGAUCGGUAACAGGUGUAGCAAUACAUGCUGACGAGAGGCGGACGGGUGAGGAACGCUUGGGAAUCUGCCUAUCAGCGGGGGACAACCCGGGGAAACCCGGGCUGAUACCGCAUACGCUCUACGGAGGAAAGCCGGGGACCGCAAGGCCUGGCACUGAUAGAUGAGCCCAAGUCGGAUUAGCUAGCUGGCGGGGUAACGGCCCACCAAGGCGACGAUCCGUAGCUGGUCUGAGAGGACGAUCAGCCACACCGGAACUGAGACACGGUCCGGACUCCUACGGGAGGCAGCAGUGGGGAAUAUUGGACAAUGGGCGAAAGCCUGAUCCAGCGACGCCGCGUGGGUGAAGAAGGCCUGCGGGUUGUAAAGCCCUUUCGGUAGGGACGAAAGCUCUCGACCUAACACGUCGGGAGGUUGACUUAACCUACAAAAGAAGCACCGGCUAACUCUGUGCCAGCCGCCGCGGUAAUAC